CGGUCCUAAGGUAGCGAACUUCCUUGUCGGGUAAGUUCCGACCCGCACGAAAGGUGUAACGAUCUGCGUACUGUCUCGGAGAGAGACUCGGCGAAAUAGACUUGUCUGUGAAGAUGCGGACUACCUGCACCUGGACAAAAAGACCCUAUGAAGCUUUACUGUAGCUUGAUAUUGGCUCCGGGCUUUGUUUGCGCAGGAUAGGUGGGAGGCGUUGAAGAUUUUCUUGCGGGGAGAUUGGAGCCGUUGGUGAGAUACCACUCUAACAAUGCUAGGAUUCUAACCCUAUACCGUUAUCCGGUUAGGGGACAGUUUCAGGUGGUCAGUUUGACUGGGGCGGUCGCCUCCCAAAAGGUAACGGAGGCGUGCAAAGGUUUCCUCAGGCUGGUCGGAAAUCAGUCGUAGAGUGUAAAGGCAUAAGGAAGCUUGAUUGUGAGACCUACAAGUCGAACAAAGACGAAAGUCGGCCUUAGUGAUCCGGCGGUUCCGAGUGGAAGGGCCGUCGCUCAACGGAUAAAAGUUACUCUAGGGAUAACAGGCUGAUCUCCCCCAAGAGUUCACAUCGACGGGGAGGUUUGGCACCUCGAUGUCGGCUCGUCGCAUCCUGGGGCGGUAGUACGUCCCAAGGGUUGGGCUGUUCGCC
rnacentral:rRNA from 14 species